rfam:Aedes albopictus isolate Foshan contig37243, whole genome shotgun sequence.
GGCUCAGUAGCUUAGUUGGAAAAGCACUUGUCUACCGAAUAAGGGUCGUAAGUUCAAAUCUCACCUGAGCUG